AACGAACGCUGGCGGCAGGCCUAACACAUGCAAGUCAACGCUGCAGCAAUGCAGAGUGGCAGACGGGUGAGUAACGCGUGGGAACCUUCCCAGUGGUACGGAAUAGCCCAGGGAAACUUGGGGUAAUACCGUAUAAGCCCCUAGGGGAAGGAUUUAUCGCCAUUGGAUGGCCCGCGUCGGAUUAGCUAGUUGGUGAGGUAACGGCUCACCAAGGCAACGAUCCGUAGCUGGUUUGAGAGAAUGACCA
rnacentral:rRNA from 1 species